GAUGAACGCUGGCGGCGUGCCUAAUACAUGCAAGUCGAGCGAACAGACGAGAGUGCUUGCACUCUCUGACGUUAGCGGCGGACGGGUGAGUAACACGUGGGUAACCUACCUAUAAGACUGGGAUAACUUCGGGAAACCGGAGCUAAUACCGGAUAAUAUUUAGCUUCGCAUGAAGCAAUAGUGAAAGACGGUUCUGCUGUCACUUAUAGAUGGGCCCGCGGUGUAUUAGCUAGUUGGUGAGGUAACGGCUCACCAAGGCAACGAUACAUAGCCGACCUGAGAGGGUGAUCGGCCACACUGGGACUGAGACACGGCCCAGACUCCUACGGGAGGCAGCAGUAGGGAAUCUUCCGCAAUGGACGAAAGUCUGACGGAGCAAUGCCGCGUGAGUGAAGAAGGUUUUCGGAUCGUAAAACUCUGUUGUAAGGGAAGAACAAGUACGUUAGUAACUGAACGUACCUUGACGGUACCUUACCAGAAAGCCACGGCUAACUACGUG
rnacentral:rRNA from 1 species